rnacentral:misc_RNA from 1 species
GAUGAAGAACGUAGCGAAAUGCGAUACGUAAUGUGAAUUGCAGAAUUCAGUGAAUCAUCGAGUCUUUGAACGCACAUUGCGCCCCCUGGUAUUCCGGGGGGCAUGCCUGUCCUAGCGUCAUUGCUGCCCUCAAGCACGGCUUGUGUGUUGGGCCUCCGUCCUCCUCCCGGGGGACGGGCCCGAAAGGCAGCGGCGGCACCGCGUCCGGUCCUCGAGCGUAUGGGGCUUCGUCACCCGCUCUUGUAGGCCCGGCCGGCGCUUGCCGACACAUCAAUCUUUUUUCCAGGUUGACCUCGGAUCAGGUAGGGAUACCCGCUGAACUUAAGCAUAUCAAUAAGCGGAGGA